GAAUAGGUCCAGGAUGUGGGGCGACAUCUGUCACCCCAUUGAUGGCCAGGGUUGAUUCGGCUGAUCUGGCUGGCUAGGCGGGUGUCCCCUUCCUCCCUCACCGCUCCAUGGGCGACCCUCCCGAAGCUGCACGUUUGGUGGAAGAGGACGACCUUCCCCAAUAGAGGAGGACCCUUCUUGGGUCAAGGGUAUACAAGUAGCUGCGCUCCCCUGCUAGAACCUCCAAACAAGCUCUCAAGAAUAGGUCCAAUAGGAAUGAUUAAAAAAAUAACUCUUAAUUUAUGUUCCAAAGAUCUAGUGUACAAUAAACACCUUUUU
rnacentral:snRNA from 1 species